rnacentral:rRNA from 1 species
CCUACGGGAGGCUGCAGUGGGGAAUAUUGCACAAUGGGGGAAACCCUGAUGCAGCGACGCCGCGGGAGUGAAGAAGUAAUUCGUUAUGUAAAGCUCUAUCAGCAGGGAAGAAAAUGACGGUACCUGAGUAAGAAGCCCCGGCUAACUACGUGCCAGCAGCCGCGGUAAUACGUAGGGGGCAAGCGUUAUCCGGAUUUACUGGGUGGAAAGGGAGCGUAGACGGCAGUGCAAGUCUGGAGUGAAAGGCGGGGGCUCAACCCCCGGACUGCUCUUGAAACUGUACGGCUGGAGUGCAGGAGAGGUAAGUGGAAUUCCUAGUGUAGCGGUGAAAUGCGUAGAUAUUAGGAGGAACACCAGUGGCGAAGGCGGCUUACUGGACUGUAACUGACGUUGAGGCUCGAAAGCGUGGGGAGCAAACAGGAUUAGAUACCCCAGUAGUC